CAGUAGCCGCGGGAAUACAGAGGGUGCGAGCGUUAAUCGGAUUUACUGGGCGUAAAGCGUGCGUAGGCGGCUUUUUAAGUCGGAUGUGAAAUCCCUGAGCUUAACUUAGGAAUUGCAUUCGAUACUGGGAAGCUAGAGUAUGGGAGAGGAUGGUAGAAUUCCAGGUGUAGCGGUGAAAUGCGUAGAGAUCUGGAGGAAUACCGAUGGCGAAGGCAGCCAUCUGGCCUAAUACUGACGCUGAGGUACGAAAGCAUGGGGAGCAAACAGGAUUUGAUACCCCUGUAGUCCCUGUCUCUUAUAC
rnacentral:rRNA from 1 species